AGCAGAGUCGAACUUAUCUGGCUGCAAUACCUGUCACCCCAUUGAUUGCCAGUGUGGAUUCUACUGGCCUGGCCACCUACGUGAAUGUGUCCUCUUUCCUCAUUGCAUCCUUCUGCAAACCUCAAAGCUGCAUGCUGAGAGGAGUACCACCACACUCUGCAUCAGGCACUCUGGCAUCUCCUUCUAGACCCCCAAAACAGGUGUGAAGUCCCUUUGUACAAGAACACAGUGCAGUCAAGCCUCCAAGACUUGAGGCACAUCCAGGUGAGGGUCUGUAUAUAGCAAUUUGCCUUUCAUU
rnacentral:snRNA from 1 species